GUCUUCACUUAAUGUGGGUACAGAAAUACAUGUCAGUCACCCAGGUGGCUCGGUUCAAUUCAAUCUAUCCAGGUGGUCUGGCAUAACACAUCAAAAUUGCUAGAGAAUAAUUAGCUGAUUCAAAAGGAGUCCAUGAAAUAAUUUGAUGGCUUUACAUUCUCAAGUCUAAAGUCGUUGACAAUCUGUGGGAUUUCAUCUGUCC